rnacentral:tRNA from 1 species
GGACGUCCGUCCAACGUCGAGCACAGGACUUCAAAUCCAGUGGGACGUCGCGAGGCGUCCGGUAGGUUCGACUCCUAUACGCUUCC